rnacentral:rRNA from 1 species
GUCGAGAAUAAUUCACAAUGGACGAAAGUCUGAUGGUGCAACGCCGCGUGGAGGAUGAAGGUCUUCGGAUUGUAAACUCCUGUCAUCGGGGAGUAAGACCUGGCGGUAAAUAGCCGACAGGGUUGAUAGUACCCGAAGAGGAAGGGACGGCUAACUUCGUGCCAGCAGCCGCGGUAAUACGAAGGUCCCAAGCGUUGUUCGGAAUCACUGGGCGUAAAGGGAGCGUAGGCGGCGUGGUAAGUCAGAUGUGAAAUCCCGGGGCUCAACCCCGGAACUGCAUCCGAUACUGCCAUGCUUGAGGGUUGGAGAGGUAGCUGGAAUUCUCGGUGUAGCAGUGAAAUGCGUGGAUAUCGAGAGGAACACUCGUGGCGAAGGCGAGCUACUGGACAACAUCUGACGCUGAGGCUCGAAGGCCAGGGGAGCAAAAGGGAUUAGAAACCCCUGUAGUCC